UUCAUCAUCCUCAUCAUCUUUUUACCUUCAAACUCCUAACAAUGGCUACCCUCCUCUUCUCUUUCUCUUUGCUCAGCCAACAACACCACCACCACCACGCUAGCCACCAGCGCCGAUAGUACCACCACCUCCUCCCUUUAUUGUUGUUACGCAUGUUGAUCACUGUUGGGUUUAAAUUGGGGAUUUUGUGACUCAAAUUGAAGUUCAAGAUUGAAAGUUGAAAGGUCCUUCAAUGGUGAUUGAGUUUUUGAUGGGCCCUAUCGCUUAGGAGGGAUAGAUCCACUUUCAGGUUGCCAACUUUAGUGCGGAUGGAUGUGCUGCUCCUUUAUGUGCCAUGUGUUGCGAUAGCGAGGACAUCGUUUUUGGAAAGUUAAAUUAUAAUGAUAUUUUGACAAAUCAUGUAUUGUAAAAAUUUAAAAAAAUUUAGAUAUUUUAUAAUGUAUUAACUUAGUUUAUAACUGGUUUGUAAGUAAUUGUAUUACAGUUAUGUAAAGUUUUAAAAUACUCUGAUAUUGGUUGUUGUGGCUAUCAAGCCACAGGUCGGAUUCAGCCCAGACUUCUAUAAGUCUUCCGCUGUGCUUUGUAGACAAUAUUCUUAUAUUGUUUACGCUGGUUUGGGCUGUUUCAUUGGUGUACACGAUUUUGGUGUCAAUCUCAAAAAGUACUUCCUCCGUUUCAAAAUACUUGCACCAAAUCCAUUUUUGCGCAAUCCAAUGUGUUUGUCGAAUCGUUUAUAUCUAGAGCUAUACAUAACUAAAAAUUAUAAAAAUUUGAUAUUAUGAAAAUAUGCGACGAGACGAAUAAAACAAGAUCCCACAUGACUAUGUUCUUUU